CAAGUUACUUAGCUUCUCUGGUCCUCAGUCUUCUCCGAUCUAAAAGAAAGAUGUCACCCUCUGUUUUGCAGUCCUGUGGGAGACCUGGCUGAGCCAUGGUGUCAAAGCAUUCUGCAUGGAGCCUGGCCAUUGGCAGAGGUUCUAUAAAUGCAUGGUUUUUUUUUUUUUUCUUUCCUUCCAUUUGGGUUUCCCGCUGGACGACCAAAUGCAGAUGACCCCCUGAACAUGCCAGGCCUUGCUCCUGACCGGCUUUAUUACCUUUAAGAAAGGUAACAAAGACACCUUUGUUAAGGUACAAAAGGAGGUGGGCCAGUUGGGGGGCUGCUUCACCCUGACUGGCACCCUCAGCCUGCAGGGCCUUUCUCAGUAACUCACCAGGCAUUCAGGACCUAAGGCCAGAAUCUGCGGAAUCCAGCCCAGCCAAGGCCUGCAGACUCCUCUCCUGGGUCCAGAGGGCCUGCAAGUAAGAAUUUGGUCCAAGGCUUCACCCCAGGCCAAUGCCUCUGCAUGUCCACUCCCACGGGCCGCCCAUUCCAAUCCCUUUGGGCUGCUAGAAGUUCUUCCUUCUGUUGACCUUCAUCAGUUUCCCUGGAGCUUCUGCUACUGGUUCCUUCCCUGGGGUAUGGCAGAGGAAGUCGGCAUCUCAGGAGUCAGAAGACAGUGAGCACCUCCCCGGACUCUGAGACUAAAUGCAGCUUGAGGUUUCAGGAUCCCACAUGGGGAGACAGGUAGAGGCGGUGGCUGCAGAACAUGGCCGAUCCUGGAGUCCCGGCGAGACUGGAGAAACAACUGCUGCUCUGCUGUCCUCCCCUCUCAUCAUCUGACUCACUCCUUUGACUGACACCCAUCCACAGGGACGCCUACACAAAGUGGUCACUCUGCAGUCGACGUAUCAUCCCAGCUACUGGUGGUCAUCGGGGACGCAGCUAUGUGUGUCUCCAUUUUGCAGAUGAGGACAUGGAGGCCUCAAGAGGUUAAGUGACUUGCUCAGCCAUACACAGCUGAUGGGAAUGAAACAGAUGGAAACGGAGACUCCCCAAGCUGACAGGCGGACUACAGAUCUGGGGGUUCUGCUCCAGGCUCAACACAAGUGGCCUGGGCGAGGGAGGGCCUGGUAGACCAUGACACCCAGCAUCGAGGAAUUCUGCUUCCCCAGCAGGCUCAGAAGGAAGAAGUCUGCUUCAGGGGCCAGGCCUGGUCAAAGACUCCAUCUUCCCUGGAUGGCCAGAGUCAAAUCCUUGCAAAUCCCGUUCACCAUGGAGCAGAGACGAGACCUAUGUUACCCAGGCUGUAUGUGAAUUCCUGGACUCAAGCAAUCCUCCCAUCUCAGCCUCGUGAGUAGUUGGGACAAGUCUCACACCACCAUACCCAGCUUAAUUUAAUUUGAAUUUUAAUAGCUGCA